rnacentral:other from 1 species
GUUUGCCGCCGCAUAGGCGGCUUAGAAG